AGCCCAGUUGACACUCGCACGCCGCAUUUGCUUAGAGGACCGUGAAAAACGAGUUGGAGGAAAUUCGCGCGAAUUGAAGGCGCAAGCGGAGAAAGUAGAAAGAUGCAGAAGCAGACAGAGGAAGAAGAGAAAAACAGUGAUGGAAAGCAGAAGAAGAGCUCCGUGGUGAUAAGAAUACCUUCUUUUCAGGAAGUGGUUGAAAGUUCACAGGCGAAAUCGACUCCACCGUCUCUCUUCCUUCCCUCCCAAUCCUUUUCCCAAGCUUUCGCCUUCGUCAAAUCCUCCGAGUUCUACGCUCCUCCUCCUCCUCCUCCUCCUCCACAACCCAGGGAAACUGCCCAAUCGGAUGCUCCAUCUUCAACCUCCACCCCGUCUCCCGCUGCUGCUGCUGCUGCAUCUUCAUCAAAAUUACACUCCUCUCAGGCCUCUCAAAAUCGCAAUUCAAUUCUUGUGAGCCACAGACAGAAGGGAAACCCCUUGCUCAAACACAUUAGGAACGUUAGAUGGGCGUUUGCCGAUGUUGUUUGUGACUACAUGCUGGGCCAAAGCUCCUGUGCUCUGUAUCUCAGUCUUCGGUAUCAUCUUCUGCAUCCAGACUACUUGUAUUAUAGAAUUAGGGAGUUGCAGAAGAAUUUCAAGCUUCGUGUGGUUCUAUGCCAUGUUGAUGUGGAAGAUGUAAUAAAGCCUCUACUUGAAGUUACAAAAACAGCUUUGCUUCACGACUGUACGCUCCUGUGUGGAUGGAGUCUGGAGGAAUGUGGCCGGUACUUGGAGACCAUAAAAGUCUAUGAAAACAAGCCUGCAGACAUUAUUCAAGGCCAAAUGGAUACAGAUUAUCUAUCACGGCUAACACAUGCCCUUACAACAGUACGGCAUGUUAACAAGACUGAUGUUGUCACCCUUGGUACCACAUUUGGGUCUCUUUCUAACAUUAUGGGCGCAUCUAUGGAAGAUCUAGCUCGUUGCCCUGGCAUAGGAGAGCGCAAGGUCAAGCGCUUGUUUGACACUUUUCAUGAACCUUUCAAACGGGUGGACUCAGGCCGGCAGGCCAUUCCAGAUACUUCUGUUCAAUAUGAGCCAGCUAGUCCAGGCUCAUCGAUAAGGAACGAUACUGAAUCUUCUUCCUUGAUUGAAGACAAGCAAGGCGAUGUCAACGAUGUGAGCAAACGAAGGAAGAAAGAACCCGAAGUUACUGUCAAGUCUGCCCUUUCUGCAGCUUUUGCCAAAUACUCGGAUAGAGUUGGAAAGAGGAAAGAAACUUCACAAGUGGAGGAAAAAGGAGAAUAGGAUGCUUUCAAAUAAUCAGAAGCUGAAAUAUAAAAUUACCAUAAUGUUUUUCACCGGGUUGUGCAAUAAUAUACCCUUGAGCGUAAUCUUAUGAUAUUUAGAGGCUUCAGUUAUUAUGUCUAUGCAUGUGAAGCCAUGGAGACUCUUUUGGGACUGUAAUGGGGAAACACUUGUAACAAGUGAAGAGGAAAUGUCCAUUGAUAUGACAAGCCGGGCUCCUUGUUGUGCUACGUGCUUUGUGGGGAAUCCUUGCUUUCAGUCAGACACCAGUCGUGCAAGUUAAAACAGAUAGAAAGAAGCUAACAUCGAUCUCCUUGUCAGUCUGUAAGAGGGGGAGCUCUAUAUUUAAGGUCGUUUUCCGUUGGUCAAAAGUGAUCCAGUCUGAUUUUAGGGUGCUAUUUACUAACCCAAGAGACAAGGACGUGUUCUCCUGGGGCCCGCUUGAUAUCAACUGGCACACGUCCCGUGAGGAGUUCGAGAAGAACCACACCGUAGCUGUAAACAUCUGACUUUGUGGUAAGCUUACCCGUGGCGUACCUACAUCAUGCCCAAAUUCAAGGGACAAAUUAAAUUUAUGCAAUAAUUUAUGAAAGAAGUUGUAAAUAUAUCAUGAAUGGUGUGCAGUAUAAAAUUUUUGUAUGUCAUGUAUCAUAGAUAAAAUUAAAAAUCACAGCCUGCUUGAUAAGGACUUGACUGUGACCAUGUGCAAGGUUCUUUACUUAACGUUGUAAGUUAAUUACUGGGAUUGGGUGGAGAAUGAAGAUAAGGCAUGGCGCUUCCAAAUGACAGAUGAAAUGGGACACUUGUAAUACUCACUCUGGUGCCAGAUAUCCAGUGGUCCCCAACACACGGGUGGAAACCUGACCGUUCUUCUUCUCUGAUCCCAUCUUAGCCAAUCCAAAAUCAGACACCUUGGCACGGAAAUUUUGAUCCAGCAGAACGUUGUUAGUCUUGAAGUCUCUGUGGAUCACAGGAGAGACUGCAUGUUCAUGAAGGAAUUCCAGUGCCCUAGCACAAUCAAGGGCUAUCCUCAUCCUGGCCCACCAAUCCAACGGUUGAGUUUGAUCGUUGGGGGAGUGAAGAUGGCGGUGAAGUGUACCAUCGGGCAUGUAUUCAAAAAUCAAUAACCUGUGGUGUUGGUCAGCGCAAUAGCCAAGUAACUCCACCAAAUAUGGAGAGUGCAAGCGACUUAGGAGAUCGACCUGCAAUAAAUGUCAUUUAGUCUUCACACCCAUGUGCUGGAUUUGAAUAAAGCUCACAAUAUGAGUUGGCAAGUGGGAUGGACUGAUAGAAAGCUAGUUACCUGGGCUAGAAUUCAACGUUGAUGAAGUAAUGAGCCUGCUGCUUGUGUCAUGAAGCUCUGUACUGUCUUCUUUGCAAGUGCCACUUUUGGAGGAAGAUUUUUGACGACGGAUCAAGAACAGGACCACAAGAAUGACAAAUAGGACCGUAACUAAGGUAGUGGUCAUCGGUCAACCAGUUCCACCACUGUUAAGAGUGGAGCAAGAGGGUGAGUUUGUACGGUGACUUUGCCAUCUCACACCAGUAACUGCCAAUAACAACAAUCCAAUUAACACCUGCAUAACUCAAAAUCCCCGAAUUCAAUAACAACAAAUUCCAUCAUGCAUCAUUUUAUAUGAUUUAGUUUCUUCAUUUGACUUGAAGGCUAGCCAAAGAAGGGGACAAAAUGACAAAUAAACUUGCUGCAUUUAGCUAAUCUAAAUGAGCAGCUGAAAUAUGCUAUUUUACCCUGCUUGUUAUUUUUUCAGGAUUAUGUACAUUUUAGCUUAUGUUUUCUUCUUUCUAUCCAUUGAAAUAAUUAAACCAUUUUUGUAUUA